UACGUAUGGGUCGAGCGUUGUCCGGAGUUACUGGGCGUAAAGCGCAUGCAGGCGGCUCAUUACGCAUGGCGUGAAAAGCCCCCGGCUCAACCGGGGAGGGUCGUCGUGAACGGGUGAGCUUGAGGGUAUCAGGGGCUGGUGGAAUUCCCGGUGUAGUGGUGAAAUGCGUAGAGAUCGGGAGGAACACCUGUGGCGAAGGCGGCCAGCUGGGAUACACCUGACGCUGAGAUGCGAAGGCGUGGGGAGCGAACGGGAUUAGAUACCCCCGUAGUCCCU
rnacentral:rRNA from 1 species